rnacentral:rRNA from 1 species
UACGGAGGGCGCAAGCGUUAAUCGGAAUCACUGGGCGUAAAGCGUGCGUAGGCUGUUUGAUAAGUCAGGCGUGAAAUCCCUCGGCUCAACCGGGGAACUGCGCUUGAUACUGUCGAACUCGAGUCCUGGAGAGGGUGGCGGAAUUCCUGGUGUAGGAGUGAAAUCCGUAGAUAUCAGGAGGAACACCGGUGGCGAAGGCGGCCACCUGGACAGGUACUGACGCUGAGGCACGAAAGCGUGGGGAGCAAAC